rnacentral:sRNA from 7 species
UUGACAAUUGGACCGUGAAGGCAUACUUUCAGGAGUGAGGGUAGAGCUGGGUUUCCCCCGCCCUGGUAGUCUUAGUAUGCUGGGUAGCUAAUCACUAAGAGCACCACGAUGAUGAGUAUCUUCAUCAUGACCCUUUCCUUAUU